CCUUAUGUGAUACUGUCACCUAAUCUUCUAAAUCUCACAUUUUCCGACUCUUACUUUUGUUAUCUUUAGCAAAUGUAUAUUUUCUACUGGGGAUGUGUCUAUAAGAAUAAUACUUAAAAUACAGGGAAUUAUGAAAAUUAUAUAGAUGAUGAAAAAACUGCAUACUAGAAUUGGGAAUGAAACAAAAAACCCAAAACAGUUGAUGAUAUUAGCAAAAAUCAGUUUUAUGCAGUUAGAAGGGAGCAUUUUAAAAGAGAUUCCCUGCUUUUCAAGAUUUCAUUCAGUUAAUUUUAUUUUGAAAAGAAACUUCUUCCUUCUCUACGAUGAAAAAAAAAAUGGGAUUAACUUGCCAAAAGUCUAUAAAUAGAGAAUUCUAAUGCAAAAACUCACCUGGAUAAUGUAUUCCAAUAAUCAUUAUAUUAUUUCCAUUGAAUAAAUUAAUCGAAAACA